CAGCAGCCACGGGAAUACGUAGGGUGCGAGCGUUAAUCGGAAUUACUGGGCGUAAAGCGUGCGCAGGCGGUUCGUUAAGACAGAUGUGAAAUCCCCGGGCUUAACCUGGGAACUGCAUUUGUGACUGGCGAGCUAGAGUAUGGCAGAGGGGGGUAGAAUUCCACGUGUAGCAGUGAAAUGCGUAGAGAUGUGGAGGAAUACCGAUGGCGAAGGCAGCCCCCUGGGCCAAUACUGACGCUCAUGCACGAAAGCGUGGGGAGCAAACAGGAUUAGAUACCCGGGUAGUCCCUGUCUCUUAUAC
rnacentral:rRNA from 1 species